rnacentral:rRNA from 1 species
AACGAACGCUGGCGGCAUGCCUAACACAUGCAAGUCGAACGAGACCUUCGGGUCUAGUGGCGCACGGGUGCGUAACGCGUGGGAACCUGCCCUUAGGUUCGGAAUAACUCCCCGAAAGGGGUGCUAAUACCGGAUAAUGUCUUCGCACCAAAGAGUUAUCGCCUUUGGAUGGGCCCGCGUUGGAUUAGCUAGUUGGUAGGGUAAAAGCCUACCAAGGCGACGAUCCAUAGCUGGUCUGAGAGGAUGAUCAGCCACACUGGGACUGAGACACGGCCCAGACUCCUACGGGAAGCAGCAGUGGGGAAUAUUGGACAAUGGGCGAAAGCCUGAUCCAGCAAUGCCGCGUGAGUGAUGAAGGCCUUAGGGUUGUAAAGCUCUUUUACCCGGGAUGAUAAUGACAGUACCGGGAGAAUAAGCUCCGGCUAACUCCGUG